rnacentral:misc_RNA from 1 species
AAACCAUCAAGCUCAGCUUGGUCUUGGACGCGGUCGAGUGACCCGUCCGUAACCCGUUGGCGGUGCGGUCCGGCUUCAAGCGUAGCAAAAAUUUCGCUUCAGGAGUCCGCGGCGGUGCUCGCCAGGCAAUCACAUCCCAAA